UCCUACGGGAGGCAGCAGUCGAGAAUAUUCCACAAUAGGCGAAAGCCUGAUGGAGCGACGCCGCGUGCAGGAAGAAGGUUUUCGGAUUGUAAACUGCUUCUAACUGGGAAUAAGCCCGCAAGGGUUGAAGGUACCAGUUGAAUAAGGGGUUGCUAACUCUGUGCCAGCAGCAGCGGUAAUACAGAGACCCCGAGCGUUAUCCGGGUUUAUUGGGCGUAAAGAGCGAGCAGGAGGUUUGGCAAGUUUAAUGUUAAAUCUCAGGGCUUAACCUUGAGGCCGCAUUGAAUACUGCCAGACUAGAGUAUGUUAGAGGCAGAUGGAACAGCCGGUGUAGGGGUGAAAUCCGUUGAUAUCGGCUGGAACACCAAAGGCGAAGGCAGUCUGCUGGGACAUUCCUGACUCUGAGUCGCGAAAGCGUGGGGAGCAAAAAGGAUUAGAUACCCAGUAGUCCAAGCCG
rnacentral:rRNA from 1 species